rnacentral:rRNA from 1 species
UACGUAGGGGGCAAGCGUUGUCCGGAAUCAUUGGGCGUAAAGAGCGUGUAGGCGGCCCGGUAAGUCCGCUGUGAAAGUCGAGGGCUCAACCCUCGAAUGCCGGCGGAUACUGUCGGGCUAGAGUCCGGAAGAGGCGAGUGGAAUUCCUGGUGUAGCGGUGAAAUGCGCAGAUAUCAGGAGGAACACCGAUGGCGAAGGCAGCUCGCUGGGACGGUACUGACGCUGAGGAACGAAAGCUAGGGGAGCAAACAGG